AGGCGUCGCGCGGUGAGAUGAGCCUAUGUCCGAUUAGCUAGUUGGCGGGGUAAGAGCCCACCAAGGCGACGAUCGGUAGCUGGUCUGAGAGGAUGAUCAGCCACACUGGAACUGAGACACGGUCCAGACUCCUACGGGAGGCAGCAGUGGGGAAUAUUGGACAAUGGGCGCAAGCCUGAUCCAGCAAUGCCGCGUGGGUGAAGAAGGCCUUCGGGUUGUAAAGCCCUUUUGUACGGGAAGAAAUCCUGUCGGUUAAUACCCGGCGGGGAUGACGGUUCCGUAAGAAUAAGCACCGGCUAACUUCGUGCCAGCAGCCGCGGUAAUACGAAGGGUGCAAGCGUUAAUCGGAAUUACUGGGCGUAAAGCGUGCGUAGGCGGUUCGUUAAGUCUGUCGUGAAAGCCCUGGGCUCAACCUGGGAAUGGCGAUGGAUACUGGCGAGCUAGAGUCAGGUAGAGGGUGGC
rnacentral:rRNA from 1 species